rnacentral:lncRNA from 15 species
UUAUCAGGUUGCCCCAAUAAGUCCAUUAAGACGCUCCAAUUAAUUCAGAAUGCUGCAGCACGAGUACUGACAGGAGCUAUGAAAAGAGAUCACAUCUCUCCUGUUCCAGCUUCUCUGCACUGGCUCCCUGUAAAAUUCAGAAUAAAAUUUAAAAUCCUCUUCCUCACCUGCAAAGCUCUUUAUGGUCAGGCCCCUUCAUAUCUUAAAGAUCCAGAUCAUAGUUAUUCUGCUAUAGGCCUAGACUAUCAGGGAAUGUCCCAUGAUGCAAUGAGCUCCUCUCUUCCUCUUUCUCUCUUUCUGCACACAUUCAUGCCCUAUUAAUGCAUGUUACUAACUUCACUUUUUCUGGUAGAUUCAGUUUCUUUGUUUCAGCCACUGCAGAUGCCCAACCUCCCCCUUCCUAGCACAAGAUGCCAGGUCCUUUUGUGUUUUGUAGAUUGUGAUGUCUGGACUUGGCUUUGCACCUGAAUGCAAGAUCCUGCAGGACACCUCAUAUGUAAAACACACCAGUAGGGGGUCGGCCCUGAUGUCUGCAGUGGGCAGGGGGGUGGGAAAGCACUUCCUGGAGGGCCAGACCCCUACAGCAGACAAAGGGGUGUGAAAGAGGUGGUCCUCAGGUAUAAAUGUGUAGAUAUCCCCAUGUUCGGGGUCUUUCUUCAUCUUUGACCACUCGCGUGUUGAUUGACCUUUUCUUUGCAAAGAAAAUAAACUUGUCGGCCAGCAGAAGUUCUCUAUUUCAUUCUUCACCAGCAGCAGAGAAAUUGCCACAACAAUUUGAUGUCAGAAGUGGGAUCCCUCGAGCGAUCAUCUGGGACGGGACGCGGACAGUGACAGGCCACCCUGGAAGAAAAACGUUUCAGCCUCCAACCUCAAAAUCCUCUUCUGAGAAGGGAGGACUGACCGCAAACGCCCCAGAUCGUCGCCGCUGGGAUUUACACAAACGCAAUUCAACGAAAUUCAGACAACAGAUAUACAAUUGCUCUAACAUAUGUUCAGUACACAUCUGAUCAUAAGUAUCACUCACCAUGGUAAUUCUACUCAAUCUUAUUUCUACAUAAUUAUCAAUAUUAUUAUUAUUAUUUAUCUAAUCAUUUAUUUUAACUUUCGGACCUCUGGC